UGCAAGUCGAGCGCACCCUCGGGGCGAGCGGCGGACGGGUUAGUAACGCGUGGGAACAUACCCUUUACUACGGAAUAGCCUCGGGAAACUGAGAGUAAUACCGUGUGUGCCCUUCGGGGGAAAGAUUUAUCGGUAAAGGAUUGGCCCGCGUUAGAUUAGAUAGUUGGUGGGGUAAUGGCCUACCAAGUCUACGAUCUAUAGCUGGUUUUAGAGGAUGAUCAGCAACACUGGGACUGAGACACGGCCCAG
rnacentral:rRNA from 1 species